GCAUCCUUAGCUCAGUUUGGUAGAGCUACUCACCUGUAAUGAGAAGGUCGGCAGUUCGAAUCUGUCAGGAUGCU
rnacentral:tRNA from 1 species